rnacentral:rRNA from 1 species
CGUGUAGGCGGCCUUGCAAGUCGGAUGUGAAAGCCCUGGGCUCAACCCAGGAAGUGCACUCGAAACUGCAAGGCUUGAGUUCCGGAGAGGAAAGCGGAAUUCUCGGUGUAGAGGUGAAAUUCGUAGAUAUCGAGAGGAACACCGGUGGCGAAGGCGGCUUUCUGGACGGCGACUGACGCUGAGACGCGAAAGCGUGGGGAGCAAACA